rnacentral:lncRNA from 1 species
GGGCGAGCGGCGCGGCGCGGGGUGGGGUGGCGGAGCCCGAUAUAAGGGCGGCGGGCGGGGAGGGGGGGGCGGCGAGGCUGCGCGGCGCGGCGCUGCGUGGGCCGACAUGGCGGGCACCGGGAUGGCGGCAGGGACGGGGGCCUGCGCCCGCAGCGCCGUGCUGACAGGGCUGGGGGCCUCCUCACAGCGAGCUCCCCGCUGGGAGAGGACGCAUGGAGGGCCCCGGGGGCCCUCAGCCGUGUGUAAAAGGGGAAGGAGGCAGGCGGGCGGGCGGCCGCCGCCUGGAGUGCCUUGUGUGUGUGCGCUGUGCCUUGGUAACCUGCUGCUGCUGCUGGGUGUGGGCUCGGGCCCCGGCCGGGGUGGGUGGCUUCUGGCUUCCACGCACAGACUGCUCGUUUCCUGGCUCGUUGUUAACAACUCUUUCGUUCGGGGGAUACUUCAUCUAAUCCAAUGGCAAAAUCCAAGCAGUGAGGAUCUUCUCUGCGUAGUCUUCUAGCCUUGCAAAGCGCAUUAGGCAGAAGAUGGUUUGAAGCAGACAUGAAGAUAUAAUGGAACCUGAAGAAGUGAAUGCUCUAUUAAACAAAAAAUGAAGGCUGGAAAAUGUUUAUAUUUAUGCUUUUCAAGUAAAAGACAGUGAGAUCUUGCCUUUAAGUUCAUACCAGUUCAGAAACCAAGCCUGAGUGUGUAUAUAUGUACAUGUGUAAAUACAUACAAAAAUAAAGAAAUCUUGUAGUAGUAACUGUUAAGGAGU